UGGCUCUCGCAUCGAUGAAGAACGCAGCGAAAUGCGAUAAGUAAUGUGAAUUGCAGAAUUCAGUGAAUCAUCGAAUCUUUGAACGCACCUUGCGCUCCUUGGCAUUCCGAGGAGCAUGCCUGUUUGAGUGUCAUUAAAUCCUCAACCCCAUCUCCUUUGUGGUGAUUGGUGUUGGAUGUGGGAGCUGCUGGCUUCUUGCAAGUCGGCUCUUCUCAAAUGCAUUAGCAGGGCCGCGCCACUGCAGCUUGGUAUUGAUAGUUGUCUUACCAGGUGAGCAGGAUAGCAAUGUACCCAGCUUCUAGUCGUCUCUUGGAGACAAUCUUUGACGAUUUGACCUCAAAUCAGGUAGGACUACCCGCUGA
rnacentral:misc_RNA from 1 species